UCUACAAAGAAGAGAAGGCGUAACAGUUGCCAAGAUCCAGAGAGAUGGAUGACUCCAAGGAAACAUUGUCUCCCAGAGAACAGGAUUGACACACUAUGAGGUCACAGAGGCUAUGGCAGCCCAUACAAGACCUGGACGUGUUCACACAAGACAGGGUCUUAAUACUGAGAGAGAAGUGGACACUCAGUUUCACCCAAACCAAUGAGCUAUCUGCAACUGUUAACUGCUGGGAAAGGAAAAAAAUGUAUUCAAUCCAGUGGAGUGCCUCACAGAAAUGAAAACAAUGGCACAAGAGAGCAACUUGUUCAAAUUGGAACAACAUUCCACGAUGUAAAUUAGACCUGUGAAGUUCUACAUUUAAGAUACUCUACUAUCCUGAUGAACUGCCUUUGGAUUUUUCAGUGGGGUUCAAACCAUUGUUAACAAACAUUAUGAGAAGUUGUUAUUUUGGACUGAGCUCCUGUAAUAAGCACCAACAGACUAGAUCAUUUUAUAUGCACAUAACCAAACUGGCACAUGGAGAAUUGAAGAGACCCCUAGAGAGACAAAGUUUCCCAUUAAAGCCAUAAAACUCCAGUCUUCUUGAAUACAUUCAAGAAGUAAAGACUGUUUAACUCAUAAAAAGCAUUGUCUGACA